GACAAGCGGCCAAGACAAGCCCAUUUCGGAGUCAUUCGUCGUCAAUAUGGCGCUUGCAGGUUGUGCGAAGGGGUUUGUUGCUUGUCUUGUGCUACCGGAUUUAAACGUUUCCUGUGUGCAGCCUCUAUGCCUCUUCGAACUGUGCGGCAGGUGUGAAACAGAUGUGGUUCAGUAAAACCGUGAGAAGUCAUUUGAAAUGCGGGGUGCACCAAAAGUCACGUUCGUCAUUUGCGGAGACGGUUACCGCGCCGUUGUGGACAACCUCGAGAAGUGCUUCAUAUCGCUGAGCGUUGCCGAUAUGGCAAAAAAGGCCAUUAUCGGCAAAGUGAGCCGGGUAAGGACAUCAAGAAGAGCUGCUAUUACAGGGAUGUCCACCUUCUUUGAGAUGGAGAAAAAAACGACUCGCCGUGCAACACAAUCUUUUCUACCAGAGUGACUGUGAAAAGAACGUCAGAACUUGGAAGGUUUCAGUGAUAUCCUCCAGGUCAGGCACCUUCGGCAGAAACACUGCAGCUGCUGCUACCACCACCACGACCUAUAUUCACUUCAGCCAUUGCUGCAUCACAACCAGUAUUACAACUUCUGAGCCGCUACCACAGUCCUUCCCAAUGAUGCCUCACCUUGACAGGGCUUCACAUGCUUCAAGAAGAAGCUGUCAGGCAAGUUCAUUUGAGAGGCAGAAGAAGGAGCAGUGGGCUUGGCUGCGGUCGUAAUGCAAGGAGGCUACAAAGCUCCUGUGGAGUGUCCUUCAGCUUCAGAACAAGAGCCUCAUAGUAGCCCCGCAUUGGAGUAUUUGUGCAUCAAGAGGACAAACAAGUGCCCCUGAACGGGGCUCUGACAGCGAGAAAUUUGGAGGUUGUGGCUAGUGAUUAUUGCUUAAAGAGGUACUGACGCAAA